rnacentral:ncRNA from 1 species
CCCUACUGAUGAAGCGUUGUUGCCCAUUAAUCCUGCUCAGUACGAGAGGAACCGCAGAUUCAGACAUUUGGUUCAUGUGCUUGGCUGAUAAGCCAAUGGUGCGAAGCUACCAUCUGAGGGAUUAUGACUGAACGCCUCUAAGUCAGAAUCCCGCCUGGAAAGCGACGAUGCAUUCGUGCCUCGGCCUCGAGAGGCGUAGCUAGACGGCCGCGUGGCCGUGGAAAGAGCCCGAUUCCGACCCGAGAGGCCGCGGCAAGAGGCGGCCUCGAAGUCGGUGGAUCCUCCUGCUCGAAAGGCGGGGUGCUAAACCAUUCGCAGACGACCUAGUUGAAGAUCGGGGUGUCGUGAUCACUAGAGCAGUACAUCUCACUGCGAUUUGUUGAGAGUAAGCCUCAAGAUCUGUCGGUUUGU